rnacentral:rRNA from 1 species
UACGGAGGGUGCGAGCGUUGUCCGGAAUCACUGGGCGUAAAGGGCGCGUAGGCGGCUGGGGAAGUCGGUGGUGAAAGCUCGUGGCUCAACUACGAGUCGGCCAACGAUACUCCUCGGCUCGAGCACUGUAGAGGCAGGUGGAAUUCCGGGUGUAGCGGUGGAAUGCGUAGAGAUCCGGAAGAACACCGGUGGCGAAGGCGGCCUGC